UACGAAGGGGGCUAGCGUUGUUCGGAAUUACUGGGCGUAAAGGGCGCGUAGGCGGCCUGUUAAGUCGAACGUGAAAUCCCCGGGCUCAACCCGGGAACUGCGUCCGAUACUGGCAGGCUUGAAUCCGGGAGAGGAAUGCGGAAUUCCAGGUGUAGCGGUGAAAUGCGUAGAUAUCUGGAGGAACACCGGUGGCGAAGGCGGCAUCCUGGACAGACAUUGACGCUGAGGUGCGAAAGCGUGGGGAGCAAACAGG
rnacentral:rRNA from 1 species